CUUGUCUGCCACCAUGAAAAACAUGCCGUUUGCCUUCCUCCAUGAUUCUGAGGCCACCCCAGUCACAUGGCACUGAAAACAGCCUGUUCAUUUCAUGGAAGGACGUUUUGGAAAAAUAGAUCCAGACCUACAUAGAAAGGUAUGACAGCUACCUUAAUUCAUCCAUCAAGACCUUUCUUCUUAAUUGUGAAUUACCAACUAUAGAUCAUCAGAGAAUUUAAGAAAAUCGACAAACUAAAUGCAAAGAAACAAGCUAAUGAAAUAGAACAAAUGACUAAAGGAAACAGAAGUAAUUCAAUGAACAUAAGAAAACUUAAAAAAUAUUCUAAUUACAUUCUCAGAAAGAUUUGAGUGCACACUACAUACAUUAGAAGAGAAAAAUAAAGGAAAAUCAGACUGCUAUGAAAACCAAGUUUCCCACUUCAUGCUAAAAAGUGGUAACAUUGCAUGUCAGACUGAAGAAAGACACCUGAGUCUAUGUUGAGUUGUGUUUGGCCCCUUGCAAGGUUGUCAUAAAUGAUUCAUUGUUUUGGCUUAAGGGGCUUUCAGCUGGAUGACAAAGC
rnacentral:lncRNA from 10 species